CCCUGGCAAUUCAGAUGGUAAAGUGUCUGCCUGCAAUGUGGAAGACCCAGGUUCAAUCCCUGGGUCAGGAA
rnacentral:tRNA from 1 species